rnacentral:rRNA from 1 species
CCCUUAGAUGUUCGGGGCUGCACACGCGCUACACUGGAGGAAACAGCGUGUAUUGACCUGGUCCGAAAGGACUGGGUAAACCUGUGAAACUUCUCCGUGCUUGGGAUAGCGGAUUGCAAUUGUUUCGCUUCGACGAGGAAUUCCUAGUAAGCGUAAGUCAUAAGCUUGCGCUGAUUACGUCCCUGCCCUUUGUACACACCGCCCGUCGCUACGACCGACUGUUUCUGUCAAUGAAGCUGUAGGAUUCGGCCCUGGCCGGGGCGCAAGCCCUGGCUACGUGGUUGGAGAUCAUAGUUUAGUUGAUACGAAAUACAGGACGUAAAAGUCGUAACAA